GAAAGUCACUUGCCUAUUCUCUGGUGGAAUGGACAUCCCAGUAUCUGAUGAUAAAAACAGAGAGUCACAUACAGAGUUUUCACAGAACAAUGGCUUUCCUAGAAUCACUGUCAGUGUUUUCCCAUGGAAAAAGCUGCAGGAGGAAUUCACAGAAACAGACUGGAAAGAACCUGCUGCUGGGUUUGCCAAUCCUUUGUACAGCACUGAUCAUGGAAAUGAAACACAGCUAACAGGAUGUUCAGAGAUUUAAAUUAAAGCACCAAGCAUUGCAAGUUGCCUGUUUUUUACAUUACUCGGGCAAAAUGAAUAACUGUCAGUUUUAGCAAAAAUGUAUUUUAAAAAUGAAAC